rnacentral:rRNA from 1 species
UACGAACCGUGCGAACGUUGUUCGGAAUCACUGGGCUUAAAGGGCGCGUAGGCGGCCGGGUUGGUCGUGGGUGAAAUCCCCCAGCUUAACUGGGGAACUGCCUACGAUACUGCCUGGCUCGAGGGAGGAAGGGGCGGUCGGAACUGUCGGUGGAGCGGUGAAAUGCGUUGAUAUCGACAGGAACGCCGGUGGCGAAAGCGGACCGCUGGCCCUCUUCUGACGCUGAGGCGCGAAAGCCAGGGGAGCGAACGGG